ACACAGACUAACCUUGUCUCAAAAACAAAACAAAACAAAACAAGAUUAAAAAAGGAAAGACUUAUUUUUAAGAGAUGUACUGUGAAAUAAUACCAUUGAAAACAAACUCCAAUUUCGACUAGUAUAUAGGGUUUUGUUUUUAUGAAAGUGGUUCAUGAAUGAUAUUUAACUGUUUCAAGGUGACAUAUUUAAGGUAGGUAUCAUUUUAAAGUGAUUUAUUGUCACUGAUUGUGAAAUUAGCUGAUUGUCUGUAUUAGCUGGUUUGUGGAACUUUAUGCAUAUUUCUGUUUUCCCCAAAGUCUUUACAUUUUCUUGUGUGUGAUAACAACAAAAGUCACAUACAUGUGAGCCAUAAGACCUGGUGACAGUUCACAUCUUCUGAGUGUGUUGAUAAAACCUGGGGACAGUUCACAUCCUCUGAGUGUGGUGCCCAGUUCCUUUAUCCAUCUGUUUUCCUUAUUUAUUACAAACAGCUUUAAGGUAUCAUACGUGUGUGUUUGUGUAUGGAUGUUUCUUGUAAUCAUUUAUGUUUGCACAUUACACAAGUAGGAUUAUUUUAUAUAUGUAUGUAGUAUUCAGUGAGAUUUUUUUCUUGUUUUGCUUUGAGGCAGAGUCCUCUGUUGUAUCUUUGGCAGGCCUGGAACUCCUAGAGCUCUGCCUGCCUGCCUCGUUCUUCUGAGUGCCUGGAUUAAUUUUCACCCUGUUGCCUUGUGUGUGCCCCUUCCACUAUCAUUGAACUUCCCAUCAAGACAAUAAAUAUGGGCUCUUGCUAUUUAAUAUUUUGAUUAAAAUUCUUAAGAGAAUUUUUUAAAUUUAUUGUAACAGAAAACCUUAGUCAAUGAGGGCCUUUUUUUUUUUUUUUUAAAUUUCAACUAUGGCCAUAGUUUAUAAUGGUUUUAGAUUUUGGGAGAUCUCAUAUUUAAAUGAUAAAUAUACUAGAUUACAUAGUUUUAUCUGUUUUAACUUAUGACAAGUUUCAACAUGUAGAUCUUUCAGAAGUUGUAAAUUAUGAGUUUUCUAGGAGAUGGAGUAUGUUUGACUUUGGAUUUCAGAAAUAAUUUUACCAGACUGUUUCCCUGAAAGUUAUUGUUUUAUUUAUGCAACAUAUACUUUGUUUUAGAUUUUCAGAGUUCUCUGGUGAGUGACCAUUUUGUUUUUAGUUAGUCUGUGAAUUUACAUUCAUUACUGAUGCCAUUGAAACUCUGUGAAACUUUCACACUUGAAAAUAGUAAAGUGACACUAUUUAAAAUGUAAAAUGUCCAAUGCUGGAAAAUGUCCUAAUACUCUUACUGUUAGCAAGUUGCCAAGUUUAAACUAGAUUGUAUCAGUUUUUAAAAUAAAUUCUAGUGGCAUUUCAAAACCUAGAUAAAGAGGAGAAUGAAAAUAUUGAAGAGUUGUCAUUUCUGUCCUCGUGCAAGCUUGUUUUAUACAAGUCUGCGUUUUGUCUCUGUUUGCUGUCAGUGUCUCUCGUGUGUGUGGGCUCAGGAGCUGGCUCUGUCAGUGAAGUGCCCGCUCGCUUUGCAGUUCUGAGGGUCUGAGUUUAGGUUCCCAACCCAUGUAUAAAGCCUGGUGCACAACACAGCAGGGGUGUGAAUGAGAGACUGAGGAUUCCUGGAGCUUGCUGUUAGCUUCCAUAGUUUACUCGGAAGAUGUUCUAGGCCAGAGAGAGACCCAGGCUCAGACAAGUGAAGGAAGGAAGGUGUCUGAGGAGUGACCCUUGAUGGCUUUUUCUGACAUCCAUGUAUGUGGAUACCCUACAUACAUGCACACAAAGU
ensembl:sense_intronic Gm43807 predicted gene 43807